GCUUUAUGUGGCUUGGUGGGAGAGCAUGUGCUUUGCAUGCAGAAGGUCUUGGGUUCAAUCCCCGGCAUCUCCA